rnacentral:snRNA from 12 species
AUACCUUUCUCGGCCUUUUGGCUAAGAUCAAGUGUAGUAUCUGUUCUUAUCAGUUUAAUAUCUGAUAUGUGGAUCAUGUGUCCAUUUUGAUAUUAUAAAAUUAAUUUUUAAUGGGGGAAGGCUCAUAAUAGUAGCUUGCUACUAAGGUCUUCAAGUGUCGCUUGGGUAUUGCACUAUUGCCUUAGUCUGGCGCACCCCAA